GACUGCUGUGUCACAGAGCUGCUGCUUUCUACAUUAUCGCAACUGCCAGAGCUCUUACUGCUGCAGUUUUCUAGUCGCAGUGCGGCAAAGCAGACGCAUAGAACCAGGCACAAAGCAGCAUAGAUUUUUUUUCAUUCUUAUCUUUUUCAUAUGAGGGGAAUAUUCCUGGUGUUAGCGUAGGAACAGACACAGCUUGGAUGUGUUGGCUUCCGCCUGGCAGCAUUUUCAGCUGAGCAGGGAUUGCUCGGAGCUCUGUACCCAAAUUGCCUCUGAGGAAGAACGCCUGAUUUCCCACUUUGCGUACUGAGAGGGGUUUUUUCUUUAUGCUACGGUGAUGUACCUGCAGCAAUAGGAUGAAGGAGAUGGCACUUGUCACUGUCCGUCCGACUGGGGCCUUUUGCAGGUACUCCACGGCCGAAGCUGUGCCAGCCUCCCAGGGUCAGAUAGACUGGUGAUGCAGAUUGCCGCAAUUUCUUACAUCAGUUAGGGCAAAGCUCAAACAAGAAACCAGACUCUCUGACCUAAAUCAGCCCCAGUCCUUCUGGAUACAGGGCAGCAGUCGACUAGCAAUGACACAACCAGCCAUCAAGUGGAGAGUCUCUGGGAUUGCAAUCUGUAUCAGUUGGAGUCUGAGAGAAUGAAACCCUUUCGGGUACCCAGUCGCUUCUUCUUCUAAUACUACAAAUACUACAACUGCAACAACUACUGCUGCUGCUUCUGUUUCUCUUGGCUGUAAGAAGCUGUUAAUUGCGGUUGGUCUCUGCCUGUACAUUUGCGUGGAUUAGUCUGUCUAUAACGCAGUCCUUAUCUGCUCCUGCUGGAAACCGGGGCAUGAAGUCAGCCUGCUUUAACAGUUGUUUCUUUCUGCGUGAUGCUAUGCAACUAGAAUGGGUUACACUGACAACAAAGGAACAAGCACAAAGCACCACUUUCUUUGCUGGACUGUUACAGGAACAUAGCUCUUCUUCGAUAUGACACCCUGGUCUCUUCUCUUUGCUGGCUUUUUGUGUUUUUUAAAUUUAAUUCAUCUAAUCAAAGAGCCUAACAGACACCAUCGUGAAUGUGGCUUUUAAUGAUUUGGAAAAGACAGCCUGUGGAGACUGCGAUUCGAGACAGCAACACAUUUAGGUUAUUGCCAAUUUUAAAUACUUGGUUUGUGAAGCGCAGCCCUAAGGGACGAGCUCAGUAACUGAGGGAGAGAUUGUAGAUAAAGAAAUAAAAAUGACAAGCAUAAUGGAGGCUCUGCAAAAGAGACUGUCAGAGAAUCAGUUCAUGGAUGGCAAUUUCACCAGUCUGAAUCUGAAUAAUUCAUAGAUUGAAAUUACUCUGCUUUCACCUUUCCAUUUAAACCGGCAUGAUCUGAAUCUCUAAUAAAUUUUCAAGAUAAAGUAAAAUGCCAAUUUGAAUCUGAAGAGCUUUUAAAACCAGAUGCUACACCCUGAAUCUUUCGAUACCUUUCACAAUUAUCCUGUGAGAACCACACUUCAUCACGAAGCACCAUUACCAGUGAAAAUUACUGUGAUUACAAUAGCAACAAUAGAAUACCAUCAAAUGAUCUCUAAUCUACCUAAUUUACCAAGUCUGACUGUGUGCCCAUUGUGUUUCACCACGUCUGGCAUUGGAUCAAUAUCACAGUGGAACAAAAAUGCCUUAGUGUGUGCUUCCUUUUGGUACCUUUGACUUUGACAGCACAGGAAAAAAAAUCUACCUGCUGUUAAAUGUUUUUACAGCCAAUCUACAUGCCUGCUGUAGGAUCUGAUUGAUUCUCUAUGAUUUUCUGUAGUGCUUGGGUAUCAGAUGUCUUUGUGUUACUAAUUAGUUUAUAAUGUAUACUCAUGCACAAAGACUGCAGCAAGUGAGUGCCAGCACAGGGACCCUGCCCUGCUGCUGCAGUUGUAGCGCUCUCACUGGGGAAGCCAAAAAGAGUUCGGUGCCUUAUGUGAAUAAUUACUCCUGUGUGAGGUGGAAAUGCUUUGUAGCAUCACAGGUCUUGGUCGUGCGAUGUGAAAAAUGUAUGCAAAAGCCACGGUCAAGAGAAAUCAUUGCACGUAAUACUAACAAGAUUUUCCCCCCAUUCAGCAAUUAGCAUGUGGUUGUGAGAGACAGGCUGUGACUCCUUCUGCGUGUGUGUGUGUGUGUGUGUGUGUGUGUGUGUGGGUAUGCAUGCACAUACAGAAAUGUAAAGCUACUGUGCUCUGUUAAUGAAUAUGUGCUGAUUUCUGAAAGUAACAACUUUCUCUAACAAGCCAGGCGCUGUGUUUUGCUGCAAUCUGCUCACUUGUAACAAAUCCCUCUUUUGAAGGUGUAAGUUUCCUAUAGGAUGAUGCGUGACUUCUGGAACAGUAAGUACCAUUUAUGCAAUAUGUUGGUGGCUACAGCUAUGCUGCAGAAUAGUAUUUUAAGCAUAGUUUGAGUCCUUGUGGCAUAAGUAGAAUGUGAAGAAGUGAGAAACGUACAGAAGGCUAGAAGCAGGCAUGGAGGCGACUGUAUCUGCUGUUUGUGUGUGUGUGAGUUGUACACUUCAGGCUUGUUUUUCAUUUUAUAAUCAGAUUUACUCUGCCUUCAGGGAAUAUUUUCUAAGGAAGGAAGGUAAGCAGUAUUUCUUCUUAUUUCUAUGGUGGUGUUGUAUUUCUGUUAAGGGAAACGCAUGUUUACAGCACAUAGUUAUAUAAUACAGCAUGAUCUCAUGGCAUCUAAUUAAAUGUUUCAAUAUUUGUUCACGUUAAAACUGCGCAAGAAAGCAUAUUUAAAAUAUGGAUUUUUAUUGAAAAUACACUUCUAAAAAUGCUAUACAAAAACAAUUUACAGAUUUUGUUUGCAUUAAUCUUUUGCUCUUUACUGUUGUCAAAUAAGUGCCUAUUCUACCUAAAUACUAAUAGUCUUGAAACCUUCGCUUUUUGUAUAUUUUGUCUUUUCAAAACACAUUUUACUGUACUUCUAAAUUUUCAGUGUAUUAGUGGAGACUCUUCUCUAGAGGUAGAAGGGGCAAAAGGCUUUACAGCUUGAGCUGUUAUAACAAAGGAACUUGAAAGGGCACAAAAUAUGAUUAUACAAAAGUCUCAAAUUUUAAAUGAUUCAGUAAUGUGAUUUAGCAACAUGCUGUUCUUAGACAACACACUCUGAAGGUACUACACUAUAUGGAGAUAAUUCAUCCAUUCAGUGCUAUACUUAUAUUUAUAUUCUUCGUUUUCACAUAGUAUUUGAAACUUAACAAAGAAAAAACUGAGAGCAAAUUCUGAAACUUUGGUAAAAGUGUAACACCUGCUUUAAGUUACUGUGGUAAUAAAAUCAAGACAUUUAGACUGAACUUUGCUGAAGAGAACUAGUCAUUGCGAUUUAACUAUUUUAUGAAGGACAUUUUAUGUUUUUAUGUACAGAAAUAUAACAUAUACUGACAUAAGUACUAUACUGCAAGGACCAUGCAAACAUAUAUGUGAAUGUUUUGCAAAAUACCAUACAAGUACCUGGCAGCACUUACGGUAUUAUUAACACUGCCACACUCCUCCAGUAUCAUAUACUGCAUUGAAACCAUGGUUAACCAACUGGAUUUCAUGGAGUAUUUACAACCCUAAUUUUUUAUCAGUCUUAUCUGCUGCAACAGCCUGUAGAGAUCAGCUGGCCAUGGGGAGCAAGGUGUCCUCACUAACAAGGGCAGAGCAGAGCUAAGGGAACGCUCACAAACUACUGGUGGCCUCACAUAAGGGCCCGAAACUAAUCCUUCUGUGGAACUGUGCUGGAGUCCUCUAACUUUGUGUUUCUGUUAUUGAGCUUUAAGCAUGCCACUGGCUUUCUCCCACUGCUCCAUACUGGCCUCACGUUCCAAAACACGCUAUGCUGGUCCGGCCUAGUGCUGUUUGCCAGUGUGAGCUCCUGCAGGAUUUGCCAGACACUGUUAGGACAGCACACUCAGGAGGUGAGAGUAUCUGUGAGACUGCUAAAAGUACUCUGGAAAAGCUUGGAAACCUUGGGAAGUGAACUCUGCCAUUUGGCAUGAUGUGUGUUUCAAAGGUAGCAGGAUUGCAGUCUGUCAGCAGGAUAUACUGCACAUGCAAAAGGGGAAAAAAAGCCUUUAAACUUUUCCAGUUGCAGGAUUGUGAAGAGAAUAUUAGCAAUAUUACUUAAUAGAAAGUAUUAAAAUGUAGUCAAGUUAGAUCAUCCAUGAUUUUCUGUAUUUUCUAUCAGAUAGCUAUAGCUGAAGUGUUUCGUAUUUAUAAUUAUAUGUGUCAAAAUAAAUGGCAGACAACAACAUGAACCUUCUAACAUAAGGCCACUAAUUUCAGCAACAGGAAUUCAACAGUUACUACUCAUCAUAUCAAAAGAUGCAUUAGUCUGGUUUUAUACCUGCUUUUCACUGUUUUAUACUUGUCUAUAAAUCAAUCUGCAAUGGCAAAUGAUGGACAAACCCCUUCUUUUCAUGAGUUUCCAACUAAACGCAGAUAUCCACCUCAGUAAAAUUACUCCCAUGCAUUUGGUGGACCCCUAUCUGCAGCUAGGCAGCAACCAUGAUGCAACCACACACAUGAAAAACAUAUUGGGGCCCAUUCUAUUACCUCAGAAUUUACUAACAAGUCUCCCUGUGCCAUCAACAUAAAAGAUAGAUCCAAUAAUUUCCUUCCGUUUCAUUCUUUUUGUGAAAGUUGCUGCUAUUUUGUUGGGUGUUUUCCUCCUUGAUUAUCACAGUCAUGUAUAGUUGAUACAACACUGAACAGAAGAUCCUUUCUGUCCACCAGGACACAAGCCCUGAGCAAAACAUACACCGAAAUCAACAUCUCAGGACAGGUUUAUUUGACAACCAAAGGGACCUUCUCACCCAUAGUUGAUAAUAUUUGUGCUCACUUGUUUGUCAAUUCUGCAUUAUCAUCUGCUAUAAAACACACAAGUUCUGAUCUGUAGUGGUUGUAUCUAUUUGGACAAGAGCCCUGAGGAUAGGGUGUCUGUUGUGGGUUUCAUUGCGGGUUUUUUUCUCUUUACUGUUGCUUUGAAUUAAUUGCAACUGCCUAUGGAAAUAUGAUCCCUUAAGAAUGUAGAGAAAUAUAUUAUUAAUGAUUAUGUAUGAAGAAUUGCUAGAUUCCCCUGCAUUCUGGCUGCUGUGAAUUUCACACCAUCAUCCCCAAAGAAAAACAUUAGGGAGAAAGUUAAGUCCAAUGUAACUUGAAAUGAAAACAGCAGUAUUUCCAAACCAAUAAUUUUUGACACAGGAAAUUCAGAGUUAAACAGAAGAAAAUCCAAGUGGUUCACUGACACAAUUAAAAUACCUGAGCAGCUUCCUUCCUCUUUGAUGUCAUAACUCCAGGAUGUGAUAAAGGUAAAUAAUUUUGCCAUGUCAUUUUAUGCUAUACAGAUAAGAUCAAACCCCUUUUUUUGGCUUUAAAAGUAUUUGCACUGCAUUUCACAGCAUCAGUUCAGUUUCUUUAUGGACUACAAAUGUACACCUGCCCUGUGCUUUUAGCUGGGUAACAUAACCAGAAGUUCUGAAAAUCAAAUUAUUUCUGACCAACCUAAAGAGGGAAAUGAAAACCUAAAUGGGAAUUGCAGAAGAGGCAAUGGGUUUCCCAGGUCUCAUGCCAACAGAGAUUCUUGCUGGGGGUUUUCCAGGUCAGGUUAAACUUCUUACUGUGUUAGAACUUGUUCUUAAAAAACCCCAUAGUUAAAAAUGAGCGGGAAUUCAAAACAUGGCCAAAGUUUUGCUCAAAACAAUAAGGGAUUUUUUUCUUUUCUAACUACAUUUGACAUUAUUUCUGCCACAGGCCUUGCCUCAAAGUUUACCAAGGAACUCUGUUCAAAAUAAUAUUUGCAAUGCUAUAUUUCAUUUGUAGAUGGUCAUGCAUAAUGAAGCACGCACAACAAAUUAGCAGUUGUGUGCUAAACUGGGAAAUGUUGUUGAAAUGGAAAAAAUAUAAAUUGAUAGAUUAUGGUGUUGCCACUGUAGUGUUCACUUAUACUCAAUGCUUCACAGAGAUAGUGCAGAAAUAAAUGUACAGCUAAAUUAUACACAGUUACACUCUGAAAUGCUCAAUAGAAAAGCCAUAUGUUGGACUCACCUGUUUCUGUUUCUUCUGCCUGUGUUCAUUCAAAACCCACCUCCAGUGGCACAGCAGUCCCAAGAACUGGCUACCCCUCUAACCUGCAGGUAAGAAGUUUCACUGAGGAUGAGAAAAGAUGAGAUUCCUCAUCUUGUGCUCCUAAAGGCAAUGUUCUGGUUGGGGGCCCAGGGGAGAGGCAGGUGUGCAGAGGGGCAUGGACAUGGCACACUUCUGACUCUCCUCCAAAGCAAAAGGGGGAAAACACCAUUGUUAAGUAAUUAAAGAGGAAUAGGAACAUCUUUAAUUUCUAUGUUUUCAAAGGCAGCUCUUCUGCAAACUUGUCAAAUUUAUACCUAGCACGACUAUCAUGUGUGACGCUCCAAGUCAUGGAGAAAAUUUAAAUUGUCAAUCGAGAUUGUGGAAAAAGGGUCCAUAACCCAAGAGACUACACGGAUGUUUACUCAAACAUAGUGAGCAUUACAUUUAACUUGCAUGCAAAUGCAGCUGCCUAUGCACCUACACCCAUAAUAUCUGUAAAGUGAAUGUAUAUUUCAUAUUUGGCUUAAGCAGCUACAUCCCACUUAAACUGGCCUUUUUGGCAAUGGCAUUUUUGCUUUUCCUUUGAGUGACAUAGCAUGCCCUUUGUUAUGCAUGCAAGUAAGCAUGAGUUGUUACAACUCCUUUUGUCAAAAGGUAAGGUUUUUCCUCAAAGCUUGUACUAAACUUACCAGCUUUUCAUGAGGUGCAGCCUGUCUUUGCAAGCUGAUGGGAUUGAUGUGGUCAUGAAUUGCUUGCAGUUUGUAUUUUUUGUAUUCUGUGUUUGUUCUUUUAUAUUUAGAAGUUGGAGUGCAUCCCUUCCUCUGCCACAGAACUUAAUGCAAGGGCUGGUUUAGGAGGUUCUUUGGAACCUUAGUGGAGCAGGUAUUCCCCAGUGGAGCCAGGAAGUGGAAGAAACUGUACCGACUGGGAGCCAAAUAGCAGCAAUGGAAAGUAAGUUUACUCACUCUGAAUCGUGCCAAACCGCAUAAUUUGGAAAAGAAUAUUGUGGCUCAACUUGGAAAGUACUAACUGGGCUCCAGCCAUCACUGUGAAAGCUGUAUAGUCUUUUAUUAUUUUAACUGGCCAAAUGCCCUUUGUUACCACAUUAACAGUCUCCCUGUGGUGCAUGUAACUUUGAUAUUAUUUCCACUUUUAAGCUAAAUUUGACCAGAUGAAAGACACAAACCCUCCAAUUUUGAAAUAAAAAAAAAAAAUAGCGUGUUUUGUUAAUCCUGUACUUCAGAAGGAAAGUCUGUGAAAACGAUAACCUUUGUCUGCUGGCCAAAGUUUUGUUCAGUAAACCCAUCCUGCCAGCUGUUCUUAUUGGCAAGGGGAAAGAUAAUAUUUUGGUAUCUUUAAUAUCUCCAUUUGGAGCCGAGGUUCUGCUUGUGCCAUCAUUUAAAUCAUGCAUGUUAACAUCGGCCUGGCAAACAAUGCUGCCCUUUAUAAAAAGGCCUCAGUUGGGAUGGUAUCACCGCAAUGUUGCAAUAAAGCUGCUUCAGACUGCCACAUACAGCUUAAACUACUAUGGGCUCUUGCAGGUGCUCUGGGCUGUGCUGCUGGAGAGCUGCUUCCAAAGGCCUAAAGGAGGCACUGAGAGAGAUUUAAAGGUGCAUUUUAGUCCAAUGUCACCAGGAGCCAAAGGCACAAAAUACCUCAAAAGCCUGGGCUCCCACUCCCAUGCCUUUGGUCCUCAUCUCUUGAAGCAGACUGGACAAGGAUCAGCCUGGUGACUGAGAUCCAGCCUCCAGCAAAUGAGGAGGGAUGGCCAGACAGAAACAGAGAGAUACAAAGUGGUCACCUAAAGCUCUAGGCCUAGACAGGGACACCUCCCACACUGAGAAUAUCUGAACCAACAUGCACAUAGGGAAUUCUUUCUCUCCAGAUCCAUCUUGAUUGCAAGUUUUAAUUUCUGCUGGAACAUAAAGGGUGUUUUCAUCAUGUUUAAGAACAUUUAAGAAUGUCUUUCUCCGUUUACAGGUAACCUGAAGCCAGGGUGUUUACAGGCAUACUGGAUCCCACACCUUGGCAGAGGAUUAUUUCUGCACAUGUUUCAGGACAGCUCAGCACUAAAGACUUAAAAGGGGAGAAAAAAAAUUUAUGAUCCUGCAAAAAUUUGCUUGGAUCCCUCGAAGGUUUCAAAGAUUUCUUAAAGUUCUCAAUGAGCACAAGCAAAAUGAUUGGUAUAAAAGUAGGUCUCAAGUCUUUGCCUGUCUAGACAUAAAGCCUCUUUCACUAAAAUGAAGCAUGAGGGGAAGACAAGAUUGUCUCUUUAAACAAGAAUUUAAUUCAUUUGUGCAUUACUGUAAUUAUACUACUAUCUUAAAUGCUCUCAGAUUAAUGGUGCUUGUGACAGGGCAACUUUGCUCAAUCUGAAACAGAACUGAGCCCCCCCGAACCUUACUGUCCCCUUUAUAGCCUUCUCCUUGUAUUUGACAGUGAAGGCCACAUUCCAAAGAAAAUGAGGAUAGUUCCUGUGUCCUGGCCACCUACAGCUUUUGUAACACCUUGAUGUAAAAGUUAAUACCAAAAUAGAUGCUGCAUUUUGUUAGCAGGGCCCAGCCCAACAACCACACUAAUGACAGUGCAAUUAUACCUGAGAUGCAAGUUUUCAUUUAAGUACAUUUCCCCUGGCAUCUCCAGUCUGUGAUUUUUUUGGGGAAAAAAAAGAAAGUAUUUUUUCAAGUUUUAAUUUCCUCCAGAAGCAUAAAAUCAUUCAAUAGUUUUUCCUCUCCUUCAGGUUAUCUUUCAUCACUGCAGAUACAGCUACGAGUGCUUAUUUGAAGUUUUCUUGCUUGCUGAACUGCCAGAGCCUUUCAGGGUACAUUUCAGGUAAGGUAAAUCCACCAAUCAAAUGCAAAGGCACUAGGGAAACAUAUUUUAAAAUGACAAAUACUUUUUGGUAGCACUCUCUCAGAUUACUUCCCCGAAUGUGGCUUUUUGCAGUUAGCCUGCCUCAUGCAGCAGCCUGCCUGCUCCCCAUAUGCCUCUAUGUCAUUAUUAAUGUGUACUGCAGCUCCACAAAGGUGUUCUGGGUGGAACUUGGCCCAGAGACCUUGGUCAGAGGGAAACUAUAAACCCUGGCCUCUAUGGAAGGGCAGUGUUCCUACUCUCCUGCUCCAAACCCUGCCAUGGGUGGCUGGGCAGCGUCAUCCCAUGCAGCACAACACCAGGGCAGCCACCAGGACACCACCAGGAAACACGCCAGGCUCAGCCCCACAGCUUGAGUUACUGGCACUCACCAGCUGCUCCUUGUGUGGAAGAACUUCAGCACCUUCCUCUUGCCAUACUAGCACAAGUAUUGUAAAUAAUACAAUCAAGGCAGUAAAUAAAAGUAGUGCGCCGAGAGAAAAGGAAACAUCUUCUAUUUUUAAACUUUGUUCACAACAACUUGAAAAAGGUAGAUGGUCACACCAUUUUAAAUAAAAGGAAAAGUUAUUGGGGUAAAAGGAAUCCACAGACACAGUACAUGAAGCUGACCCUGAAAGCCAUCUGACCUGUCAUUUGAAUCCUUCUGUAUCAAAGAACCAUGUUAACAAUAACUGUAAUGAAAUUAGACUUAUUAUGCAUGCAUGAGCAAUAAAACUCCCCCAAAAAAUCUACUAUGGUAGCACCUGGGGUUAAGAAAAAGAAAGUGGAAGGUUGCAAAAGAUGUAUCAAAAGUGACAAGCCCAAGAGGAAGAUACCUCCCAGCAGCAUGAGGUCUCAGAGUAAGCACAGAAAAAGCUGCUGUGGUUACAGAGGUAGUUUAUUACUAAAGAUUACAUCCCUCACAAAGUUUAAGGUGAAAAUAAGACCUAAAGCAUGAAGUGAUCAUAUGCCCAAAAUACAUUGACAGAUAUGAAAAACCUUUAGUUAAUACUUUCCUGUAGCAAGAAAAACACCUGUCAAAAAUGCUGUAGUAGAUUGCUAAGAUAUAAAGGAGCACACAGGAAAGAGAAGGUCCUACCAGUGAGCUGCAGGAAUUCUUUGCAUCCCUGUUUGCUCUAAACUCAAGGAGGUUCCCUUGCUGUAAGCCCUUUAUACAACAUACAUUGGAGAGAUCACUUAAAAUUAUAUAUCAGUUUGUUUGUAAGAAAGAGAAAAUAGAAGAAAUUGAAAACUAAGUUGUAACAAUUUCAAGGAUCAGUGUGCAUGGCAAAGAAAAGACAAAGAAGUGAACUCUCUAAAAUCAUGAGUAACAAAGAAAGGUCUAAUAAGGAAUGGAAGAUUUUUGUGGCAUGGGAAGCAGUGAACAAGGAUGCAUCAAAUCAUUAUCUGCUUGAAAACAAAGGAAACCAAAAGUAUUUCUUCCUACAACAUGGUAGUAACUUGGAGAAAAAAAUUAUUUAUUAGCCUCCUUGCCACAAAGAGCUGCGGUUUACAGAACUUGACGCGAGUUAAAGAUCUCCAGGACAAGCUCAUCCAUUGUCACUUGUUCAAUAGAAAGAUGCUACCUGUUACUUUGGAAGUUAUAUUGCUAGAAGUUCAGAAUAUAAGGUGGGUAGCUGUCACUACAUGAUUGUCAUUUUAUAAUGAUCUUUAGUAAUCACCCUCAGUAUUUGACCACUUUUCAUCACUUUUGGAGCCAGAAUACUAGGCUAGAUAGAUUUUUUUCAUCCUGAGCUAGAAAAUUAUUAAAUAUAAAAUGUUCUUUCAUAUUUGUUCUGUAAAAGAAAUCCUCACAUAAUAUGAGCUACUCGGGAUUCACCCACUUCUUCAGUUCUGUAACAAGUCACAGCCGCUGAGAACCCACUCAGAACACUCCAUUGUAAAUAAUGUUGGCUGACACAGCAAAACUGGAAAUGCAGGCUCACAAAGCACAGUUUGCAGUGAGCUUAUUGCACACACGACUGUCAGUUGGCCAUUUACUGAGCUUCCCGUGCACCGACCUCUACCAAAAUGGAAAGAGAAAAGAGAAGCAAUGGUACAGAGCCUGCAGUCCCCCUUUCCUGCAGCUCUUUGCUCUCAGGGGAUUUUCUAGGAUUUAUAUAAUACAGUGCUGAAGUGAAGCCAGGAUGCUGUGGGACAUUCAGCUUUCAUUUUCAUGGAUCAUUUUCAUUAGAAGACUUGACUGAAAUAUUCUGUUCCCUUUUCCCCAAAAUAUCCCUGAUGGUAAAUGCUUCUUCUACAGUACUUCACAGUGAAAUCUCUGAGACUUACAUAGCUCACACCUAGUUGUUCCACCUAAACUUUCUUUCACUCCAAUCUCCAGGUCAAAUAACUGCACCAAGUAAUUUAAAUAAUACAUAAUUCAUAUAAAACACUUUGCUUUGAACAAAAAUGCAAUAAUUCUUUUUUUUUUUGCAUUUUUAACCAGUGAAGCAGAGCUUCAGUCAUUUAGUGAACACCACAGCUUGAAGUUAACCAGUAAUCUUUUUUUCAGGACAUAUAUGGAGAGAGAAUUUUUCUAUUGUAAUGCAAUUCUCUAAUGAUCCAUAGUUAACAUAUUAGUUUGUUUUCUAUAUAACCUUGAGAAAAACACAAAGGGUAUUUCAUUAUUGUUUUAGAUAUGUAAACAUGCAAAAGUUUCCUGUUGCUUUAAGGAAUGACUUCUGUAAGCAGUUAUCUGUAGUACAUCUAAAUUAAAUAGCCACCUUAGAAGGAAGAGAAAACAUUUUGUAUUCAGUCAUUAAACAGAAUCAGGAACAGUUGCUAAAAUAAUGUAUCCCCAUUAUUCAUUAAUAUUAUGCUUCACUUGUAGGAUUAGAUACCUGAUAAGAGUUGUACCAGAACUAAAGAUGCUAAUGAAUGAUUAAAAGCUGAGGAGCAGAUGCGAAGGGCAAGCAGAACAAGAAUACCUCAUUCCUUUUUUUUCUGAGAACACUUAUGUGUUCUCCUUCAUUGUUUUCCACUGAGUUUUGCAUUCCUAUCUCUACCAUAUAAUGGGCUGAUCUAGGACUGGAUUGGGACUCUUUCCAAUCUUGUGGAAAGCUGUCUUUCUUAAACUGUGACAAAAUAAUCAAAAACUUGACAAAUUUUAUUAACUAAGAGUCAUAAUAAUGUCAAAAAUGUCAAUAGAAAUAUUUCAUUUAGGUGAUCUUUGAAGCAUUCCAACAGUACUUAUGCCUUAUAACUAAAAGCCAUUUUACAGAAAACCAAAAUCUUUAAUUUGAUGUGUCAAAAUCUUGUUUCAUAAAAACUAAUUUUUUCAUGGCCUUGAAAUCUGAUUUGACCUAUUUCUGACAAAGUUUUGGCUAAGACAAAUAGACGCCUUUUUGGAUGAAACUCAUUUUGUCAAAAGAGCUCCAAGCUAACUCUGCUGUCCAUGACUGUCUGUACAAAUAUCACAGGAAACUUCUGGUAUACGCAAAGGCUUAAUCAGCUGGAACUUGACUAACACGCAGACACAUAUCUAACUGAUCCCCAGCUGACUAGGAAAUCUGUGUCCCAUAUGCUGUUUAAAAAGGGAGCUUGGAAAAUUUAAUUAGUCAGGAGAAAGAAUUGGAGCUUGGUUUCCUGGGUUGUUUAUUUGUUUGUUUUUUACAUCUUUUUCUUUUUUUUUUUUACUUUAUAUGCCUAUUCAAGCCCCAUAUAUUCACCUAAUCUAUAGAUUGCUGUCCUGCUCACAAGGUUUGUACCCUGCAUUACCUAAAUUCACUGAGAAUUUUAUUUGCAUCCCAAGAAUUCAGGUCACAGAGAAACCACCUUGAGAACCCAGGAGAUGAGUAAACCCAUUGUGAGUUUACUCACACAUGCUAGCCUGCCUGGGAAAUUAGCAUGCAGUCAUUUAUACCACAAAUGAAUACUUCACCAAAUCAGUGCCUUUCAGUCAUAGCUGUCAGCGGACUUCUCGUUUUCUUUUUUUUUCCUAGCACAAAGGCACAGUUUCAGGUAGGAAAUCAAAGCUCCCUGACUCUUCAUAGGUAAAUUUGCACAGAUCUCUUGUAAACAGGUCUCAGACCCCCUGAAUCCAUGGACUACAUGUGGAAAAUGGUCCCAGCACUACAAACUUGUUUCCACACAGAAAUACCUCACAGUGCACAAAGACUGUGAAGUACCUUUACACUGCUUUCAAAAAAUCUAUUUAUUUCAAGUUCAGCUACUCUCUGGUUACAAACACAGACCUGUGUGACAGACCUAAGUGACUUGUCCAAGUGACAAUGGGAGAUUCUGGAUUGUGAUUAGAAAGCUGAUUGAUUACCUAGUCCCAUAAUCCUGUGUUUUCUGGUUCCAGCUCCAGGGAUUUUGCCAAACCACUUUGAGAAAAUUUUCCUCCUGCUCAAUGAAGAAUUGUGCUGGUGAUGCAAAAUAGAAAAUCUUGUUGCAUUUCUUGGGCAUGAUGAAGUGUUCAUGGCACCAGCAGAGACUUUGGUUUUACACUUAAGCCUUAUUAAGGCUUGGUUACUUGUUAGGGUGGUAGGAAAGCAAGCAGAGAGCCUGAUGUGCUGUGCCAGAGCAGCUUUGCCAAGCCCUGCAGAGGCAGUCCAGGGGAUUACCAGCCAGCUGCCUGCCCUGGGCAGGGCAGGGUGCCAGCCCUCAGCUGCUCCCCUUGCUCUCCUGACUCAGAACGUGCACAAACACACUUGGGUCUCCCUGUGACAUCUGCACUUAAAAAGCAAGAGGAAAAUGCAGGGCCUGGAAAAGACCAUCUCCCUGAUGGCAGGGCACAAACAGCUGUCCUCUAGCAAAUCUAACCACAGCCAUCCCUGCACUGAACCAGAGUGAGAGUCAGUUCAGGCUAAAAAUAAUCCGAUCUUUUUUGGAAGUAUGGCAGGGCAGGAGCCAGGUUCUUGGCCCCAUAAACAAUUUUACAAGAGCUAAAGGAGGGCAUAGGCUGGGAAUGAGCAGCUGGGGGCUGUUAAGAUGUCAUUGUCAGUGAAUGGCACUGCUUCCCUGAAUUUUCACUACAACAGAGCUUGAGUGUUCAGAUAAUCAGCCACGACAUCUGAGAUAUGGGAGCAGAUGGGCCAAUACCUGCUUAGAGUGCUCUAGUUUGAGUCACUGAAAAGGACAUCUGCCUCUGCUCUCAGGCCAGGUGCCUCAGCAGCCCCACCGCAGCUGGGCAGCAUCUUCUGUGUGUUUGUGAGUGGGUAUUUCUCAGAAGCCUGUACUCUUAGAGCUAUUUUGAAUGAAUUAAUCACAAGGCAGCCAAAACCCCUCCUGCUGUUAAAAUGUACUGAAUAUUGAGUCCUUGUUGUAACACAGGAAGGUACCACAGCUCCCCAGAGAAACAGUUGCAAGAAUGUUUUGAAGAUGCCAAACCCUGCAACCUUUUCUCUUAGCCUAGUUCAACAAAAUAACAGUAUCUGAAACUUUUUUACUCUGGGGCACACAAGUUUUCCAGACUCCAGCCUUCAGAAUGAAAACUUAGCAUGGUUAGUGAUAUCUGAAAUUUCUGAAGACAAAUAUUGGACACCUGUGGCUACAUUAUCCUUACAUCUAAAAACUUGCCCUGUCUGUUUCCUUGUAUCAAGUUCCAGGCCCACCAUAUUUUUGUCAGUAACACUCGAGUCAGUGUACAACACCAGAAGCGCAUAGAAAUGAUAACAUGAAAGAGCUGAAUAAAAGGAAUAAAAGGCACUGAAAAACUAAACCAGAAACAAGUCAUUGCUUAAGAAUUAUUGUUUUAUUUGCUUGUCAUUAGACAUCUGUUCAUAGGAACUGUAAACGUUCCACUUUGGGCCUGGGCUUAAUAGUGUCAACUUUGCAGGGAUGCCUUCUUCUUCCUCAUUGUUUUCACUUGGUUUCUAGGGCAAACAAAACUCUUUUUUUUUUUUUUUAGUCCUUUAAUAAAUUAAAGCUGUUAUAGAGUUAGAAGUAAAUAACUGCACAGUAUGGCAAUUUCUAUCCAGCAAGCUUCAGAACAAAACGAAGAUCAUUAUAUGCACUGUAUCCAACUCUUUCUUGCUCCAUUUGUGCCCUCCUUCCCCCCCACCCUGGUAAUCCCCAGAACUCUGUGGUGACUGAGUAGAAUUUGAGGUCAAGUUUUGUCCUGAAAAAAUGUGGAGCUAGCCCUCCUCUUCCUCCCCUCACCCUGUCAUCUGCUGACAUUUCCAGAUGACAGUGUGCUGAAUCUGAACUGUUUCUUUUGCUGGGAAUGCCAUCUGUGAGGUGGCAGCUGGGGUGGGAGGGAAGGCACAUGGCAAAUGAACAGUGAUAAAUAUAGACAGUAGACUAAAUUAGAGGAAGUUCCACUUCUUUGCAGUGUUACAGACCUUUGCAUGCUUCCAUUAAGUGGAUGCAGCUUUUCUAACUGGUGUUUGAAUAGCUGGAUUGCUUAGCAAGGGAGCAAAGUCAGAACAUGGGAACAGAGAUGUCAAAAAAGCCAGCUUGGGCAAAAAUGCUCAGACUACUGAAAUUUCCUAAGUCAUUCAUAGUUCCACUCCAUUUCUAUCAUAUUAUAAUAUCCUAAAACUAGCAAGGGAGAAGAAAAAGAAGAUGAGCGUGUGUAUUGUCAAAAGGCAUAUGUCAUAAAUCAUCCAAAAUGAAAAAUCAGUGAAGAUCUGAGGGAAUAUUUCUUGUAGAGCUGAGAUAAAACCAGUGUCCAUAUCAUUGACAACUGAACAUGAAUUCUACCAAAAAAAAAAAAUGCUGGCAUAAUAUUUUAAUUUCUCACUUUAAUACUUAAAAGGACCACUUAUAUUUGAAACAUAUUUUUCCCUGCAUUACAGAAAGAACAAUAAUUAAAACCUCAUCUUAAGACAUUGAAUUCUGUAAAUAAGGUGAUGUCAGAGGAAAUUCUAGAGACUGAAUUUUUUCUCAUAUUUCUUCACUAAAAGAUUGCUAACAGCAUCUUAUCUGCACAGAAACACAGAAGGCCAAGGAGGGAAGGAACGUCUGGAGAUCUUCAGGUCCAACUGCUCACACAGCAGGGUCCAAAAGGUAUCAGGUUGCUCAGGGCCAUAUCCAGUUGCAUUUUGAACUAUCUCCAAAAACACAGACUUCACUUCUCUCUCAUUCAGUGUUUGAUUACUCUCACAGGACAAAAUUUUCUUCUGUUUAAUGGAAUUCUCCGUCUCAAUUUGUGCCUACUGCCUCCUACCCUUCCCUGGAUAUCAGUGAGAAGGGAAUAGUUGUGUCUUCUUUGCAUCAUCCUGUAUUUAUAUACAUGGAUAAGAUCAUACCUAAGCCAUUUCUUCUCAAGGAUAACACAUUAAUAAAUAUUAGUAAAACAUUAAUAAAAUAUGUAAAUAUAUAUGUUUACUUUGGAAUCACUUCAGGAAUAUCUGCCCUAAUUUAUCUAUGGUUUUCACACUGAAUACAGCUUCCAAGAUAUCUUUUAGGCUAGUGCCAUUGUUGUUAGGGGUUUCAUGAACAGGAGAAGGAGACUAAGCAAUAUUGUAUUCUUUCAAACUAUACCUAGGUAAGUAAUUUGGUAAGACAUUCUUCUCUUCCUUUCAGUGUUCAAUUAGAAAUUACACACAUUUCAACUUUUUUUAUCUUACUCCUGGGGUUUUUCUAAAGUUCAUUAAUUUUAAGAGCAAACAAUGACAAGAAGUGAGUUCGAUCCUUGACCAAGCCUACAGCUGCACUACACCUGAAGGAACUAAACCGCACAGAAUCCUUUAGGUGCAUUUUAAUUUAUGGAAGUUGGAUUCAUAUCCCAAAUUCACUUGAUUCACCUUAACUUUCUUGGCUGACUUUAUUUAGCAUUGCCUGGAAGUAAAAGUUCCAUGUUCAGUGCUGUUGAUCUCCAUACACAAGACCUGAAGCGAAGGAAAGGACAUGUCAUACCAGCAAACAAAUUUAGCUGGUGUUGGCUCACUUCAGCUAAAUCCGUGUAAUCAAAAGUGUAAAACUACACACACAUGUCAGUUGUAAUAAUCUUGUCACUCUGUCCUCUCUUCAGGUUUCCUAAAAUGCAAGUCCUCUGUGGCAGUAAUAUUUACCUGCUGUGCAAGAUUUUUUUUUCUGUUAGGAUAAUGCACAGACAUCUUACAUCUUCAUUUAGGCAUUAAAUCUUUUAAAGCUGAUACCCCAUGCUGAUAAACAGGUUUCCCAACAGCCAGCAUGAGGUUCAUAUCACCAGCAGUGCAUAUCUCAUCUGGGUGGGGAAAACCACACAGCAGCUACCUGUACAGGCUGCAGUUCCAUGCUUCCCCCUCAGGUGCCAUGCCAGCUCCCUCCUCCUGCUGGUGGAGCUGAUCCCCUUUAUCCUUGCACCACUUUUGACACUCACCACUGAGAGAAAUUUCUGCAUGGUUGCCCACCAAAAAAACCACAAGUUCUCUCUCUGCUGGGCCAGAUUCCUGAUGCCUUAGCACAUUGAAACACUUCAGUGACCAGGGUCAGCCAGCACCCAGCCAAGCCACAGUGUCAAGAGCUGACUGUCUUUGCACUCUGAAUGACACUCCUGGAACAUUCCAAGGGGAUUGGGAAAGCGAGCAGGAAGUGUCCUGGUUUAAAAAUGGGUCCCCAGUGUCAGAGAGCCGGCUGAAACAAGGGGACAGCGUGCUACCAAAUGAGCUAAUUGCAAGCAUCAGUCAAUUUAUAAACACUGGUAGAGUGUUAGAGCGAAGGAUCUGUUUAUUUGAUUCUGUUUAUUUGAAAUACAGGCCAUACAUAGAUUUUAAUGUAAGUUUUGGAGGCUCAUUUUUGAAAGCACAUCAUAAUUCCAGAAUAUUCUAAACCUAUACUAUUACACAUAAUUGUCCUCUACAGUGCCCAUGAUGGAUUAACAAACAAAGGUGAGCUAACAUGCACCACAUAAAAAUGAAGAAUAACCCACACCUCCAGUUUUCAUGGGAGAUAUAUUACAACCAUUCAGAUAAUUCCUGUGGGCUCACUUUCUGGCCUUGGUGGAGCAGUUUUCUUUGUCCUUUGCAGUUUACCUUAAAAUCUUUCAAUUUGAUUAAGAACUUACAAUUUUUCUUGAGGAAGAACCAGAACAAAAGGUCAUCUGCAAUAAAUUCAAGAAAGUUUUUUCACCAUUUCUAGUCAGUGGCUCACAGAACAGUAAAUAAAGCACAAGCAGAUUAUUAUGAUAUCUCAAGAAUAUUCAAUCCCAUUGUUUUGCAUAAAAUUCUACUGAAAUUCUUAAGGUGUCAAGUAAGCCUCUGAAUUCUGUUUGAAUAAAAUUAACUUCACAAAUCUCACUGUGUCCUUAGUCUAUUAAUUUUUCAGGUAUCUUGACAUUAAAGACCAAAAAAAUCUCCACCAAAAAAUUGAGAUACACUCAUAAAAAUGUAAAGUUUAUUGACCCACUUUAUUUAAGGUUCUGUGUGAAAAUGGAGAAACUGCAUGACUGCUGAUGUGUAAUUAAGAGACAACAAUUUGAGUGAACUGGUUCUCAUUCUUGAACAUUUCAUGCAGUUCAUGUACUCCCAAAAACAGAAAUGGAGUCAACACAAUGCAUGAGGAUCAGAUUUUGAUCAUCCAAGGCUAUUUAUACCACAUCAGAGACCUCCAGCACACAUUUGCACAUACUCCACAGUUUCUGUAAGAAAGCAGGAGUACUAUCUGUAUCCUAAUUUUCUUGAACUCUUUUCUGACACAAAAGCUUUGGUGCUCAGAAAACACUUUCCUGUAUCUUGGUGUUUGUGGAUCUAUCUAUUUUAAGUGGCAGGUACUACACAUCUGUUUUGUUCUUCAAGAAAUAUUUGCCAAUUCAAAAAUUGAGUGAUGACUGAGCUGGGUAACUAGUUUAAUAAUAAGUGGAUUUGGUAAGAAAGCAACUUACUGAAAUGGCCACAGAGGUUUUUAUUGAGGUCCCAAUAGACUUGGUGCCUCCUCUCCUGUAGGAACCUCUCAUGGAUGGUCCCAUUUCCACCUCAACCAUCCAAAUUACUUACUUCUUACUAAAACACUGCAUGUGGUGGAUAACUGGGAGAAUUACAAUUUUAAAAAGCAGAAAAUUACAUUUUUAGUUGUGAAGAACGAGCCUGGUUUUGAACAUCUUACAGGAGCAGUAUUCUGGUUUUUACACAGCACACCUCCCCACCAGAAUUUUCUGUGUGUGGGAAGAAAAUAAAGCAGCAUUCAUUCUAUGUUGUAGGCAGAGAUCUUAAAAAACCCACCGACCCAAACAAAAGAAGAUCCACUAAAACAAAAGCCCCCAAACAGCAGCCAUUCUUGUUCUGGGAAAGAUAUUUGUGACAGUUCCAUUUCCCUGGAAGAAAAACUUCUCAAGAACUUUUUGAGAAGAUUUCAAAAUUUCUCAAUUUUCAGGGAGAAAUGUCAAGAUUUCAAUAAGUAUUUUGGCUUCCUGGGAAAGAAGGAGGAAAGCCCUCACAGCCCAGAGCAGGAAUGUUGACUGCAUAGCACUCUUCCCCAAACACUGGAGAAUAUUCCUUGCUGUACACUUGCAGGCAUGACAGGGAGAAAGGAGUAGGAUGAUAGCCUGCUUCCCUUCUGAUAGUGGUGCUUGAGAAAUGUCCAUGCUUCCUGGGAUGGGUUACACAGGUACACAGUAGCACAGCAGCCUCUGCAGACACACAGUAAGAAAACAGUCCAGUGAAACCAAACGCCUCAGCCUGACUCUUCCUGACCUUCCUGGCUCUGACCUCUGUGUGUACAGUGCAGCCCUCACACAAUUACAUGGAAAGCAGUUUUUUGUAUUGAAGGAAUCCAUUAGAGAUGGAUUUGAACUUUUGUUCAGCCUCCUGCCACCGAUGUGCACCGUGAUUGCCAGGCACAGAAAACACAGCCCACUUGUCUCCAUUUUCUUCCUUCUUGACCCAGAAAGUUCGCAUGAUGUGCUAGUAGUAGUCCAGAAGUGGUCAAAUUAGUGAAUGAAUAAGCUUAUAAGGUAAUGAAUAAGCUGUCAUUCAAAGACUGAUUUUUAAAUAUCCUUUCCAUUGCUUAGUAAGCCUUGAUAAACAGGUGCACCAAAAAACAGUUUAUGCUGGAAAUUGCAUCCAAGCUGAAAUCAGCUCUUUGUCAGAAGGAAAAAGUUUAGAGAGAAAAAGAUAAAUAGGGUGAAAGAGAAAGGAUGGCAGUAUGAACAACAGUGGAAAAAACCUACCAGUGAAACAUAAGUGCUGUGGUUGAAAUUAUUUUCUCUGUUGUUCUCUUGGGAGAACAUUCAAUGAACCUGGGCAGCUAAGUGUCUUCUGAGGUUUCCCCUCCAGCAUGUGGAGAGGAACAUAGUCCCCUGAGAGGCAGUGAGAGCAGAAGUUUGGGUAGGUGCGCUAAACAUUGCCUGGAGGAAUCUUGUCCUUCACACAAUGCUGAAAAUUAGGACACUGUCUGGCUAAGUGAAGUACUUCACAUUGGAUGUUCCACAUGAAAAAAGACUUGUUAGCAUUUUAAAGGGGAGGAUAGCAGUGUUACCUGAGUAUAAUUAUUACAGAAUCCUGGAAAUUCAAAUUCUUGUUUUUACACAUAUUCAUUCAUGCAAAUGUGGAGCCUGACCCAGAAAUUUUAUUCAGGUGAGUAAUCUGCCUUUGACUUCAAUGGGAUUCUGCCAUAUAUGAACAAAACAAUCAAACCAUGUUUUGCAUUUGCAGUCACCUCCAUUUAUCUUUCAGAGGGACUGUUGAGUUGUAAAAAUGCCCAAAUCAUGCCAAUUUGUCCAGACGAGAUAUCAAAUCUCCUUUUUAAUAUUCAGCUUCAGCAAUAUGGAAAGCAACACUGCCAAAUACUUCAUAACCAUUUUACUGGGAUUACUCACAUUUUGAUUAGAAAAUUCUCAUUUCACAUGGGUGUUGUCACCUGCCCUGUGCUAGAUAUAUCAUCUCUGCUGUGCAAUUAAUUACACAAACACUGAAAAAUGAGUUUAUGACCUGGAAUGGAGUUUUGAUAAACUCCUCUGAAGACAUACCUGAAACAGAGCCCAGUAGAAUCCUGAACAGAUAGAAAUGAUUUAUGCAUAUACAAUGGCACACACAGCCUCCAAAAAAACUGAAGACCUGCCAGGAGCAGCAGUAGUUCAAUAUCUGGUUUGAAAUGAAGAAUGCAAAAGAGACCAUAACUGAGGAAUGAGGCACUGAAUCCUGCAGCAGAGGGAAGGUAAGGAGAAUGCUAAUAAUUUGAGAGAUUUACAGCAUCCAUGUACUUCCUGAGGCAAAGGGGUGAGGGUGGGACACAGAACCAGAAGGGUAAGGACAACAGACAUGGAAAGCUUCAAAUCAACGGGGCUGUUUUGUUAUUAGGGAGUAAAUACCCGGCUUUCUGAGCCACAUGUCUAACUCAUCUACCACAUGAGUGGUAGAUGGUCGCACAAGAGUGACCCUAACAGGUCCCUUACUUUGCCGCCUGUCCUGCACAGGCUGAACGCUGACUGUGCCACUACCUCAGCUGCCUGUGGGUGAGCUCAGCCCAAUGCUCUGUCUCUCCUGGGGCUGAGGCUCCAAAUGGCAGCAAAUCUGAGGCAGCAGCCAGCUCCCACGGCAAGGGGUGUCCCCACAUGUCGGUUGUUGUCACCUCCUCCUCACCACCAGCCGUGGUCCUUAUCUGGCCCCUGGGUGACCUGGUGCAGGGCAGGGACAGGCCAGGCCAACCCUCCCCAGAGGGGCACUUCUCAGUGUGCUGCUGUCUUAGCCGACAGAGCCAUUGAACAGCAGCAAGCACAAGGCAUUGCUAAAAGCUCUCUGAGUGUCUUUUCACAUGUGGGCUAGAAAAGUGGGAGGCUGUGGUAUUGCCGCAGCAACCAAGAGACCCGAAAUAAGCAGGAUGGUGAGCACCAUGCUGAAAACACAUUUUCUUAUUCCCUGGAGCAAAUACAUUUGGUGCCUCAUACUGAAAAAGAAAUAAACCAAACAAACAAAAACAGCAGGUUAGGACCUGGAAAACAAAACCAGCUAAACAUAAAUAAAUCAUGGACAUCUUGCAAUAUAGUAAAAUACUUAGGCAUUGUCAUCUGUUGCUUAUUACAGUUUCAUUUACAUUGGAAUUUUCUCUGUUUUCCUGCAACAGUUGUGUUACUGUAUUAUUUUAAAGCUAGUCAGUAAUGUGAGUAGAAGAGUCUAUCUUUGCAUUAUUCUGGCCAAUAUUAUAUCAUACUGUGUAAGAAAUGAGAGUUAAAUCAAUUUUAAUGUACCAUUUUAGUAAGAUUACAACCACAGUUCUCGAUUGCAAUUAUGGAGAUAAUUGCAAUUUCAUUGGUACUGCUUAAUAUUAAGAAUACAAAAUUUACCUUUGAUGAAAAGAUCAUUAUGUAAGAUGAACCCAAGUUAUUUUUCUUUUAAAUUGCAUCUUGGCUUGUUUUAUUUCUUAACUUUGACUAUUUAAUAAAGGCAUAAAGAGUUUUACAGGUAGGGUAUACAGAAACAGGCUGACUGGUUUGACAUCAAAUUCCUGUACAGUGAUUUGAGAAGAAAAAAGCAUUCACUUUGAAACAACUCUGGAGGCUGAGUACAGAGAUUAUAAAAUGUAAGUUUUAUAUAUGCAGAAAAAUUGCUUUUGCAUGAAUUUACUUUUAAAAUGUUAAUAUAUGCAUAAGAAAAUUGUGUUUCUUAAUCUCUGAAGAAACACUUAUCACUAGGAACCGCUUAAUUCUUUUCCUGUGCUUGAUUUAUUAGCUUAUGAAAUUAUGGUAAUAGUUUGCAUGUUAAUGGUUUUGGGGCUCAAAUGACCUGAUUUUAAUAAUGAAGUAAUUUAUGCAGUAAAUGUAAUCAGCAUCUAUGAAUCUCACUUAAAAGAACAUGCCAGUGAUUACCUAUGCUAAAAACAAAUGGCUGUCAGCAUGGUACACGCUGUAUGUUAUGACAGGUAACUGGGAUGUGCUCAGCUCAGCACACCCUUCAGGCUGGCUGGGCCCUGCUCUGGUGAGCACCACUGAAGCUGGCAACUGCAGCUCUAACAACUGUGUACAGACCUGCCAUCACAGGCUGACUUUGGCUCUUGGUCAUCUUCUAAGGAAAAGGACAAGGACAGGAGAUGGGCACGGCCAGAACUCAAGCUGGAACCAGUAGGAAUUCCUGCACGAGUAGAAAAAUCCUGUGGCACAGAGAGCUGACACACCUGGACAAAGCAAAUUGCAGGAAGAAAGUGUUUGUUUAGGGAAGAAGUUGGAAGUCCUAAUAAUUACAAGAAAAAGGAGAUUUUUAUUAAGGAUUUGACCUGCAUGGCAUAUAAAAGAUGCAACCUCCGGCAACAUUUGGUAAGCCUAUGUGAAACAGAUCCAUCACAAGGAUUCUUUCCUAAAACAUCUGUAUUUACAGACCUGCUCACUGUCAAGAUGCCUAUGAACCAUGCCUCUGUUCCCUUGUGUCGUUUACAGGGCUGUUCCCCAACAUGAGAAGAAACACUAGACUGGGCUUUGAAAAGCAAAGAGCAAUGCUUUCUUUGCAGUAAGGCAAGCUUGUGUUUUGAUAACCUGCUGAACACUGAGAUUCAUUUUGGUAUAAAAGAUUCAAAAUUUUAUUACUAGCUGCCAAAUAUGAUCUAACUGUUCAAACACACAGACAGAAGCUGAAGGAGGUCAGAUUGGACAUUAGCCAAAAUGUACAAAGUCAAUGGAAGAAACCCCAUUGAUUCAGCAGAGCUGGAUCAUUUGUUCACCAAAGAAAUCCCUAAGGGCCGGAAGUCCUCACCACUUCCAAGGAUCAGAACUGUAAAAUUACCUUUUGUAAUUAAUAAAUACUUUGCAUGCAGCACCUCAAGCACAAUAAAAAACUGUCUUCAAACACCAUUUCCACAGCUGCUCAUUUUUCAAAGCAAAAAGGUGUUCUGUUCUGGAGUAUGGCUAAUGCUCUCUAUUCCAGAAUUCACACUGUUAGCUUUAAGAAAUUUAUGUUAUAUCCUAAAGGCAAAACAAGCAGAAGCAGAAGGAUAAGAUAGUUUAGCAUUUUUCAAGUUUUAUUAUGUCAGCCACAGGGUCCAUGGAAGCCCAAGGAAGGUAUGGAUCUUGCAACAGAAGUCCUUCGAACCCUACCCCUGCCCUCCACUGUGUAUUCAGGCGCUGAGCAGAGCCUCACUGAGGGAAUGGAGGCAGCCAAGCCAAGCGCAGAGGGUGGCCAAGCUGACCCUCCACAUUAGCCCUGGAUAGGAGCUGGGCAGGGCAGAACCAGCCUGGUAAGAAAGCAUCCCUGCAGAGGGAGAGACGGGGCUUAUCCUUGAAGCGGCCCCGUCCCCAGUUCCCGAGGAGCCCCGGCUCAGCUGAGCCCCGCCGCGCAGUCAGACGAGCCGAUCAAAGGCGGUGUGUUUGCUUUAGACGGGAUGCCAUGCCCGCUGUUGCCAUGGCGCCGUGACAGCUUAAUGAGCUGUCGCCUGUCACCCGAGCCGCUGUCACCGGGCUCCGCGGCUGCCCUGCCCCCGCUGCCCGCGGAAAGCGGCUCGGCAGCCCCUGGGAAAGGCCCAUCCAUGGGCCCGGGAGCUCCGAGCUGCCUGCCCGGGCCUCUCGCAGGCCCAGACAUCCUUGUCUCGCCAAGCAGGAUUUCUGGAGGUGAAAUUUCCCCUCCUCCAUUUCCCUGUGUUGUGCCUGGAGGACAUUCCCCUGACAAGAGGGACCUGCUGUCGGCGGCGGAGGCAGGGUCAGGAAGGCGGAAAAUAAAAGGAGAAAUUUCAAAGUUCAGACAGUUUUCUUGGCAGACUGUGACAGCUCAAAGGGGUGAGGAUCUGUCUGAUGUUUACUUGGAAAUCCAACAAGAAUAGCUCGCCGCUGACAAUCCAGGCUCGCAAACGCGAGCCCGAGCCGCAGAGCCCCAGCACCGGUUCCGCUUCCCAUGGGACACACAGACAGACACCCGGACAGCCAGCACCUGCCUCUCGAAAACAAACAGGAAAAUCCCGGCCUGCUCUAUCUUCUCUUCCUGUGGGAAUCUCAGUCUUAGGACGGGGGCCCUGCGGUUUCCCCGGCUGGGAGAGGAAAGGGAACGCUGCCGGGAGCGCCCUUUGCUCCCAGACACAGGCUGGGCGCUGGGAAGGCGGCAGCAUCCCCUGCCUGCCGCUCUGGCUGAGAGCUUCCCAUGAGGGAAGGGCAAUGGAGGCUCACAUUCGGUGGCGGAAGAGUGUGAAAUCCGCAGGGAAGAGCCGGGGGAGCUCUAGUGCAUCCUCAUCAGCUGUGCCUUGUGUAACCAUGGCUGCUGAGCUGCAGCACGGACGGCUGGGAGGUUUCAUUCUGGCAUGUGAGCUCCGAGCACUGAAACACAGUGCUUACAAAUGGACUAAUUUCCUCUGGGUAGAACACUGCACCCCCAGAAAUUAGCUUGGUAGAAACCAGUUUUGUAUUUAUUAGCUUAUCUGUGUUAAUGCAGAACAGAAACAUACCACAACACACCCAAAAUGUUAGGUGAUUUCAGGCUAUCAGUUUGUUCAUUAGCUGGCUUAAAUAACAGCACGCUGUUAGCACAACCAUCUUUGUUUCAUGCUAGUCUUGUUUCUUACAUCGUGUCUUGAUUUAAUAUCAGUCUUUAAAUACUUCUGGGCAAGAACCUGUUUCUCUUUAUAUUCGUUCUACCCUUAAUAAAUAAGCCUAUGUUCCAACAA